rnacentral:lncRNA from 1 species
GGAAGGGGGACAGAAAGCCCAGGAAGAGGUCUUCUGGAGUGAUCUAGCUCCCACAAUGAGGAAGUAGAGAAAAGUCACAUGUGGAGAUAAAAGAUGGUCUUUUCUCUUGAAGGUCUAGGCUCCAACCACAUGAAAAAGGCCUCCGGAUCAUCAGAGAAAGCUGUUUACUCACCGCAUCCUGUUUGUCUUUCCGAGCGUGGUGCUCCAGCGGCACGUGUGGGCUGGCCCUCGGCGGGGCGCUCAGAGCUCAGGCCUCCCUUCACCCCGAGACCCUUCCUCAUCUUGCUUUUCAUCUGCGGGUCGCUGACCCACUUCAUCCAUUCUUGCGAUAUGAUAACUAAACCAGGCCAAAGAGGCAUAAUUUACUGCCUUCCCUCUGCUUUUCCAAUUAUCCCAUUUGAGUCUUGCUAAUUUUCUCUUCACCUCUCCUCACCUCACGGAGCUCUUCUGUUUGCUCUGUCAGACCACUGGGUACAGCGAUGAUAACCCGCUUUUACUCCCAGAGUCAUCACAAACAAAGGCUGGCUUGGCCAAGUGGGGUGUUUCAGAAGCGAUGAGCUCACCUCUCACCCCCAGCUGCUCAGCGAGUGGCUCAGUGGGAGCUUCUGCGAGCAGAUCUAGAAUGCAGAGUGCCCUGCUCAGCGCCAAGCCCUCCCUCAGCUCUGCAUUAGCACAUUCGAGUUGGCGUCCUGUGCAGCGUGCUUGUCGGCUCUGCAGCAUCGAUGGUCCUAAAUUAAGUUGUGGAAGACAAGGGCUCAUUUUCCUCAGGGGAACUUGAUGUCAAGAAAGUAAACUGAAGUCUCAAGGUCUUUGAAAAAUCUACUGGUUACUCUGGCAAGGAUCCCCAGCUAGGAUCUCCUCUGAGGACAGCAUCCAGCUGCAUGGGAUCUUUUGAAGGCACACAUGCAUUCAAACAGGAUUAUGCACGUGGCUUUAAUUUGCAUGUGCCUAUAACAGUUACUCUAAGGGAGUUCUCAAAUCAAUGCUUUGGUGUUGUUCUCUAACGGCUAUUUUCCGCACUUUCCUCUGCUCCUAUCACUCUGCUACCCGACACUCCUUGUCAGAAAUAAAGAUAGAAGUGGAUAUAAAAAGACAAGAAAGAAGAUAAAGCCAAAAGCAAAGCUCAUGAGGACUGUGGGGCAGAUUUUUGGAGAUCACAGUUUUAACCCAAUAGGUCAAAGAUAAGGGGUCUUCGAUAUCCCGCGUUUGAGACCCUGAGACUAAACCCAGCCUUCUAAAAAGCAUAUAAUCCCAGUCAGAUCACAAUCAGAAUACAUGAUAUUUUCCUCAGUCA